GACAGAGGGUGCAAACGUUGUUCGGAAUUACUGGGCGUAAAGCGCGUGUAGGCUGCUUCAUAAGUCGGAUGUGAAAGCCCUGGGCUCAACCUAGGAAGUGCAUUCGAAACUGCGAAGCUUGAGUCCUGGAGAGGAAGGCGGAAUUCUCGGUGUAGAGGUGAAAUUCGUAGAUAUUAGGAAGAACACCAGUGGCGAAGGCGGCCAUCUGGACCAGCACUGACGCUGAGGCACGAAAGCGUGGGGAGCAAACAGG
rnacentral:rRNA from 1 species